GCUGGUUCUAGAAGCAACAGGUCAAGAAGCCUGCUGACAAAGCCAGAACAAUCUUGUUGCAGGUCGGAUUUAAGCAUUUAUUUCUCUACCAGUCAAAGUCUUCUAGCAGCCAACUUGCCACACCAAGGAAUAUCAGAGACGGGGCAUUGCGCUAUGUUGCCCAUGCUGGUCUCAAACUCCGGGCCUCAAGUGUUCCUCCUGUCUCAACCUCCUGAAGUGCUGGAAUUUACGGGCAUGUGCCACUGCACUUGGCUCUUAUGUUUCAUUCUGUCUCAGCUUUGAAGCGUGGAAUAGAUAGGCCUCUGGAUCAGGGCUUUUAAUGAUUAUGGCUAAGCCUUAGCUAAAAAAGGUCACGGUGGAGAGGCCUAAGUCUGUGUUUUUAUUAC
rnacentral:lncRNA from 1 species